AACCUCCGCAAUGUGAGAAAUCGCGACGGGGGGAUCCCAAGUGCCAUUCUUAACGGGAUGGCUUUUCUUAAGUGUAAAAAGCUUUUGGAAUAAGAGCUGGGCAAGACCGGUGCCAGCCGCCGCGGUAACACCGGCAGCUCUAGUGGUAGCUGUUUUUAUUGGGCCUAAAGCGUUCGUAGCCGGUUUGAUAAGUCACUGGUGAAAUCCUGUAGCUUAACUGUGGGAAUUGCUGGUGAUACUGUUGAACUUGAGGUCGGGAGAGGUUAGCGGUACUCCCAGGGUAGAGGUGAAAUUCUGUAAUCCUGGGAGGACCACCUGUGGCGAAGGCGGCUAACUGGAACGAACCUGACGGUGAGGGACGAAAGCUAGGGGCGCGAACCGGAUUAGAUACCCGGGUAGUCCUAGCCGUAAACGAUGCGGACUUGGUGUUGGGAUGGCUUUGAGCUGCUCCAGUGCCGAAGGGAAGCUGUUAAGUCCGCCGCCUGGGAAGUACGGUCGCAAGACUAAAACUUAAAGGAAUU
rnacentral:rRNA from 1 species